rnacentral:rRNA from 1 species
GAUAAACGCUGGCGGCGUGCUUAACACAUGCAAGUCGAACGAAGUUUUUCCUUCGGGAGCAACUUAGUGGCGGACGGGUGAGUAACGCGUGGGUAACCUGCCCUGUACAGGGGGACAACAGCUGGAAACGGCUGCUAAUACCGCAUAAGCACUUAGCACUGCAUGGUGCAUAGGGAAAAGGAGCAAUCCGGUACAGGAUGGACCCGCGUCUGAUUAGCCAGUUGGCAGGGUAACGGCCUACCAAAGCGACGAUCAGUAGCCGAUCUGAGAGGAUGUACGGCCACAUUGGGACUGAGACACGGCCCAGACUCCUACGGGAGGCAGCAGUGGGGAAUAUUGCACAAUGGAGGAAACUCUGAUGCAGCGACGCCGCGUGAGUGAAGAAGUAUUUCGGUAUGUAAAGCUCUAUCAGCAGGGAAGAAAAUGACGGUACCUGACGAAGAAGCACCGGCUAAAUACGUG